UGCGUGGAGCAUGAUCUCCCUA
rnacentral:miRNA from 1 species